UAUUCCCUCUGGCGGCGUGCUUAACACAUGCAAGUCGAACGGAAAGGCCCAAGCUUGCUUGGGUACUCGAGUGGCGAACGGGUGAGUAACACGUGGGUGAUCUGUCCUGCACUUCGGGAUAAGCCUGGGAAACUGGGUCUAAUACCGGAUAGGACGAUGGUUUGGAUGCCAUUGUGGAAAGUUUUUUCGGUGUGGGAUGAGCUCGCGGCCUAUCAGCUUGUUGGUGGGGUAAUGGCCUACCAAGGCGUCGACGGGUAGCCGGCCUGAGAGGGUGUACGGCCACAUUGGGACUGGGAUACGGCCCAGACUCCUACGGGAGGCAGCAGUGGGGAAUAUUGCACAAUGGGCGGAAGCCUGAUGCAGCGACGCCGCGUGGGGGAUGACGGCCUUCGGGUUGUAAACUCCUUUCGCUAGGGACGAAGCGUUUUUGUGACGGUACCUGGAGAAGAAGCACCGGCUAACUACGUG
rnacentral:rRNA from 1 species